UAGUGGAUUGAUCACCUCAGUAC
rnacentral:siRNA from 1 species